CUUGCAAAAAAAAAUAAAAAAAAUAUAUAUAAAUAGCGAUAUAAAUAAAUAAUAAGAAUAAUAAAAAUAAAAGUAAUAAACUCCAAACAGGUCCAGCAGACUUUUUAUUCCACCAAUCAGGAUUUGUGCAAAGAUAGAUACAUGAGUUUGUAUUAAAUGACCUCUCUGCCUGUUUAAAAAGCGGAGGAGGAGGGGUACUGGGGGGGUUAUUGAAGAACAAAACAACAAAAAAAAAGUGUUUCCAGCCAACGGUUGGAGAGUGGAGUUUGAAGUGGUGAAGAGAUGGGAGCUGCUUGCUGGCAGAGCUCCCUGGGUGAAAUGAAUAAUAGGCUGUGACAAGCAGAGUCUCAAU